GCUGGGCGUGGUGGCGCACGCCUGUCAUCCCAGCUACUCAGGAGGCUGAGGCAGGAGAAUUGCUUGAACCCGGGGGAUGGAGGUUGCAGUGAGCUGAGAUCGUGCCAUUGCACUCCAGCCUGGGUGACAGAGCAAGACUCCGUCUCAA
rfam:Homo sapiens chromosome 6, GRCh38 reference primary assembly.